UACGUAGGGGGCGAGCGUUGUCCGGAUUUAUUGGGCGUAAAGAGCGUGUAGGCGGCCAGGUAGGUCUGCUGUGAAAACUCGAGGCUCAACCUCGAGACGUCGGCGGAAACCAUCUGGCUAGAGUCCGGAAGAGGAGAAUGGAAUUCCUGGUGUAGCGGUGAAAUGCGCAGAUAUCAGGAAGAACACCCGUGGCGAAGGCGGUUCGCUGGGACGGUACUGACGCUGAGACGCGAAAGCGUGGGGAGCGAACAGG
rnacentral:rRNA from 1 species